CCCUUCGUAGUGUAGUGGUCAGCACGUUGGGAGCGUAUUCCAGAGGUCCGUGGUUCGAGUCCUGGUGAGGGCA
rnacentral:tRNA from 1 species